CCUACGGGAGGCAGCAGUGAGGAAUAUUGGUCAAUGGUCGAGAGACUGAACCAGCCAAGCCGCGUGAGGGAGGACGGUCCAACGGGUUGUAAACCUCUUUUGUCAGGGAACAAAGCCUGUCACGUGUCACCGGUUGAGUGUACCCGAAGAAAAAGCAUCGGCUAACUCCGUGCCAGCAGCCGCGGUAAUACGGAGGAUGCGAGCGUUAUCCGGAUUUAUUGGGUUUAAAGGGUGCGCAGGCGGUUGUUAAAGUCAGCGGUCAAAGUGCGGGGCUCAACCCCGGACUGCCGUUGAAACUGGCAGUCUUGAGUGGGAGAGAAGUAUGCGGAAUGCGUGGUGUAGCGGUGAAAUGCAUAGAUAUCACGCAGAACUCCGAUUGCGAAGGCAGCAUACCGG
rnacentral:rRNA from 1 species